rnacentral:rRNA from 1 species
CCUACGGGAGGCAGCAGUGGGGAAUAUUGGACAAUGGGCGCAAGCCUGAUCCAGCCACGCCGCGUGAGUGAUGAAGGCCUUCGGGUUGUAAAGCUCUGUGGGGAGAGGCGAAAACAGUCAGCAAGAAACGGCUGAUUCUUGACGGUAUCUCCUUAGCAAGCACCGGCUAACUCUGUGCCAGCAGCCGCGGUAAUACAGAGGGUGCGAACGUUGCUCGGAAUUACUGGGCGUAAAGCGCGUGUAGGCGGACCGGUAAGUCAGAUGUGAAAUCCCUGGGCUCAACCCAGGAACUGCAUUUGAAACUGCUGGUCUAGAGUAUCGGAGAGGGUGGCGGAAUUCCUGGUGUAGAGGUGAAAUUCGUAGAUAUCAGGAGGAACACCGGUGGCGAAGGCGGCCACCUGGACGGUCACUGACGCUGAGACGCGAAAGCGUGGGGAGCAAACAGGAUUAGAUACCCCAGUAGUC